rnacentral:lncRNA from 1 species
AGAUGACAUCAAGUCCAAUAUUAAUCAUAGAAAUAGAAACCAAGGCCCAAAUAAAUGCAGAGAUAUCCAAUGUCUCAGAAUAUGUUUCAAGAAUUGCCUCUAGGACCCUCAUACAUUUGAUAACUUUCAUGUAUUUCUAACUUUCGCUUCUUCACUGUGUGAAGGUAGUUAAUGCUCAGCUUCUUCUAUGCAAUCGUUUAUAUGCCCCUUUUAAAUUUUCUUAGAUUUCCCAGAUGCAUAGUUUCAACAACAAAAAGUCCAACUAAAAUGGUAGUAGUAGUUUGCAGUUCUAGGAAAGAAGUUGGUGGGGGGUUAAAUUCUGUACGUUCUUGCUUAUAAAAGCUUACUUUUUAAAUUUAUUUUAUUUCUUUUGAGACAGAGAGAGAGAAAGCACGGGAGAGGGGCAGAGAGACAGGGAGAAAAAGAGAAUCCCAAGCAGGCUCCAUGCUGUCAGUACGGAGCCCGGCACGGGGCUCGAUCUCACGAAUCCUGAGAUCAUGACCUGAGCUGAAAUCAAGAGUCAGAGGCUUAACUGACUGAGCCACCCAGGCGCCCCUCUUAUAAAAGCUUCUAAAAUUAUUUUUUUGUAUGUUCUUUUUGACAAAUAUUACAUACAACCUUUAAAACAUGGUUGUUUCAGCAGGACCAGGCUUAUUUUCUGCUUGGUAUAAAUUGAGCAAUCAUGCUCUAAUAAAAACAAAAUGAGGGGCGCAGAGGGGGUAGGCAAUAAGGCCAAGAGCUCAGGUCUCCCGACUUCUUACUUCACACCACAGAUGAUACACUACUAGCCUCAAAACAUACUUUGUUUGCCCUGCACGGGAUUCCUGAAGAUGUUGCCUGAAUGUCGACCGGGGCGUGCAUGCCCUGGUUCCCUACACCCACCUCUGCCUAUUGUCUGCUUCCCCCAUUUACAUGACCUGCCAGGAGUCCAAAGUCAAGUGCAUCUUCAAGGCCCUGCUCUAGACCCAGGGGUCACCAGGGUGACCAAACUGCUGUGACAGGAAGAGAAGGGUAUACACACACAUACGUGCACGUGCACUCCUCUCUCAGGAAACAGACAAAAGCCAUGACAAGAAGCUAGAACAACUCCAUUGACAUAGCUGCCAAUCUCUCUAUGACACAGCUAUCAUUUGCUGUAAAAAUAUUGGAGUAGCUGACUUCAUUAUCUGUUCACGUUUUGCAAGCAGUAUUUCAAGAGGAUGCUGUUAGCAAGGAGCUCGUCUAUCCUAGGAAACUGUCCUAACAAAGUGAAAGGAUCAGUGACCAGUGUUCAAAAAACAAGAGGCUAGCUACCACCACAAUUUGCAAGGACUGAAAAACAAAUUGGGGGCUGACUUAGCAUUUCCCAAAAUUGUCUUCGGCAAAAUGUUCCAUAGGCAAAGUAGACUGUGAAAAAAGGAGCUCUCUGGUGGAAAUAGUUUGGGAAUCACCACAAAUUAUAUCACCCUCCUAGGGUAGUUUUACAAUAUACAAUGCACAAUGUACUCAAAAUAAAAUUUCUAUUCACAUGUCUUAACACAAGUUUUUUAAAAAAAAUACUUGUCUAAGUUAUUAUUUCAAAAAGCUCAACAGGAAAAGAGGAGUAAUUGAAAUUAGAAAUUACCGUCUUGUGAAUUAUAAGAACUAUAUUAAAAAGCUAAUCAAUGGAAUACAGUAUGAACUUGAGUACUUACGCAUCUCUUCCCAGAUAAUUCUUGAACACAGAAAAAUGUAGGAUAGUUAAUCUAUAAAUAAUUUAAUGUAUGCUGUAAUUACACUAUUUAAUUAAAUUAUUGUAAAUUAACAUGCACAUCCAAAGUUAAAUACCCAAAGAUCAAAACUCCUUCGCUUCUCUAGAAUAUGACAGUAAAUCAUGUGGGAAAACCCCACCCCAUUCUUGCCUUUAGUUUCUACGAUCUUUUGUGAAAUUAAAAUUAACUAAUUAAUUAAUGGGUUAAUUAAUUUAAUUAAUCUAUUUUAUUUCCCCAGGCCAAUGCUCCUGUACCUUUCCCAUCAAUCCAAGUACCAACAGCAAAACAUAUUUCACGUAUAAUCAAAUAUUGAAAGUUGGUGACACCAAGAAACUUAGAACAUUGCAGUAUAUUGGGCUUUAGGUCAGACUUCAUUUUGCAAAUGUUUUCCUCAGUUUUAUGACUCCACAGUCACUCUCCUAUUUAAAUAUUAAGUUUUACUCUUAACUUUUCUAAUCAGCAUCAACAACUGGAUUUUUACUUCUUUGACCAAAACAUAGCAAUUUGUUAAGCAACUUGUUUGUUUGUUUGUUUGUUUGUUUGUUUGUUUCAAAGGAAUGACUGGUCAGUAAGGUACAACCACAAGAAAAAGAAGUGAAACAGUUUUAGCUAAUGAAUUCAGGUUCAUCUGCAACUAAUAAAGUAGCUACAAAUCGUACGUAUAUUCUGUUUGAGGGGUGGGGGGAAGAUAUAUUGAAUGAAAACCAGGGGAUCAGAUAAAAGGUGCUUUGGAUGCACAUAGAGAAAAAAUGGCCAGUGAGAAUAAAGGGCCUUCUCGGCUAAAUAGAGAGUCUUUUGAGAUCAGUAUUAUGAUUUAAGUCUACUUCAAAAUGGUUUCAGCCUUAUUAAAAUUACAUUAAAACUAGCCCUGAUGCAUUUGCAUUUAAAGGGUUGCCUUACACUACUUAGCAGCACUGAAUUCAGUCCCCAUUGAUUUACAGUACUGGGGCACUACAAUCACAGACAUUUUUCAGGAUAAAGGACAAUAAUGCUCUGAACAAAAGGGUUUAAGGAUACAAGCCAUCAGGAACAAGAAUAGGAGAAGUACAUUUAUUUGCAGAGUAGAACACAUUCACCUGCAACAUUAAAACAACCCAGAGCAUGCCAGACAAGAGAACUAUUAUUCUAUACAUGUGAUCCUCCCUAGUAGGAUCGCAUUCAAUCGGGAACAUUGUACCUUUGUAAGAACAUAAAUCUUGAAAGGAAAACCGAGAUAACUUUUUUUUUUUUAUUUAAAGUAUCUGAGUUAAAGUUAUCAACUUUGAUCCUUUCAAUCCUAUAUUAAGAGAAAAGAGUAUCUUAUUGCAAUACCUAUAAAGAUCUGAAACAGAUAAUAAAGGCUUUCUUUUAAGGAAAGAAAUCUAUACAAAGCAACACAGCUCAAAGAAGUAAGAGUCUUGACUUUCUUUUUAGAAGAAAAUAAACACAUUCUUGGGCCUGGUUCUUUAAUCAUCAAGAGCUCAACCACAGGGCUCCUGGUUUUAUUAUUUUAACCAAUUCAAAACCUGUUUGAUUCAGACUGUUGACUCAUUUAAGCCAAUGGAUAAGUUGCUUCAGUGUUUUGCUGCAAGUGAUUUAUCAAAAACUUAUACUAACACAAGAGAAUCAAAAACCAGAGUCGAAGUCUCGGUAGGUCACCCCAGAAUAGCCCACAAAGAAGCUGGAGAAUACAGGACAGCAUUUGAGGUACAGAAGUCCCUAAGGUGGCUCAUCACUUAUCCCUACCUCCAACUGUAGAAUAACUCAGUUUUUUAAUCCUGUCCUAAACAUACAAUAAAUAUGAAGGCACUUUUGACAGUUCAAUGUGUUAUACAAAACUGUUAUGAUCAUUUAAUUAGGGGAGAUGUUGAACAAGUAUGAGGUUUUAUGAGAACUAAUUCUGCUCUGCAGUUUAGUUAUUAAAAAGAAAAUGCAAAUGGAAAAAUUCCCAGACCACAAACAUAGUUUUUAAGGAAAAUGUCUUUAGAAACGUCAAAAUCUGCUGCUGAGAUCUCAUGCUUUCAUUGAUUAUGUUCAAUCUCAGCAUGAUAUGUAAAGAAGGAAAACACGUAUAAAGCCAUGACAAAAAUGUGCAAUAAAUAAGAUCAAUUUUGUAGAAAAUAGCGAGGUCAUAAAAUUGUAUACCAGGCAGCAAUUUUUCUGUAAUAGAGAAGUAAUCCAGACCUAAGAGGAGAAGUAGCUAUUUUACACUGCUCCUUAUGUAAGAAAAUAAGUUUCUAUUCAUUAAAAAGGAAAAAAAAAUUGCUGGAUUUCUGAAUAGUUUGCAUUAUUCGGGAUCGGUCCUUUGCAAGGAGGUGAGCGGUGAGGUCUUCUUUUCCGUUUCGGCAGGAACCAUCUGCAAGCAUAAUUUGAGCUUUGCUCUGAGGUUCUCCUUUCAUGGCUUUGGACAUUGAUAGAUAUCUGCAUGUCCCUCCUUAGCUGGCUUCCUUCUAUGUUUACAACCACAGGCCUACUAUAUUGUAAUACAUGCUUUCCGGAGAAAGAAAACCCAGAGAUGUGGUCAAUGAAAAAGGGAGCAACAAAAGCACAAGGAACAUAAGCCUUUAAUGCAAGGCUGGGAAGAGAAGUAAAUACUCAAAGUUUUCCUCCAGCUAACUCUGUUCACAGCCGCCAAGUAAAGAAUCUAAAUUCAAGUACUUUAUAAUUGUUACAAAUUGUGCCCAAGUCCGGUGUGUUACAAUAAAUUAUGAAGCUUAUCUAAAUUAUAAAAGUAAUUAAACUUUCCUCAGAUACUCAUAAUUCCGCCCUCCAUAAAUUUUCUCUUCAUUGCAUAUUCAAUAGCUGUGUGUUC